rnacentral:rRNA from 1 species
GACGAACGCUGGCGGCGUGCUUAACACAUGCAAGUCGAACGGUGAACCUCUUCGGAGGGGAUCAGUGGCGAACGGGUGAGUAACACGUGGGCAACCUGCCCCCGGCUCUGGGAUAACUCCAAGAAAUUGGGGCUAAUACCGGAUGUUCACCGCUUCCCGCAUGGGUGGUGGUGGAAAGGGUUUCCGGCUGGGGAUGGGCCCGCGGCCUAUCAGCUUGUUGGUGGGGUAGUGGCCUACCAAGGCGACGACGGGUAGCCGGCCUGAGAGGGUGACCGGCCACACUGGGACUGAGACACGGCCCAGACUCCUACGGGAGGCAGCAGUGGGGAAUAUUGCGCAAUGGGCGGAAGCCUGACGCAGCGACGCCGCGUGGGGGAUGACGGCCUUCGGGUGGGAAACCUCUUUCAGCAGGGACGAAGCGCAAGUGACGGUACCGGCAGAAGAAGCACCGGCCAACUACGU